AGCAGCCGCGGUAAUUCCAGCUCCAAUAGCGUAUAUUAAAGUUGUUGCAGUUAAAAAGCUCGUAGUUGAAUUUCGAGAUCAAAUUGUUGGUCGUGCCUCGGUACGCACUGGCAUUAUUGAUUUCUCCCUUCUGAAGAACCUUGAUGUCAUUAAUUUGGUGUCUUGGGGAAUCAGGACCGUUACUUUGAAAAAAUUAGAGUGUUUAAAGCAGGCUCACGCUUGAAUACAUUAGCAUGGAAUAAUGAAAUAGGACGUUUGAUUCUAUUUUGUUGGUUUCUAGGAUCGACGUAAUGAUUAAUAGGGAUAGUUGGGGGCAUUAGUAUUCAAUUGUCAGAGGUGAAAUUCUUGGAUUUAUUGAAGACUAACUACUGCGAAAGCAUUUGCCAAGGAUGUUUUCAUUAAUCAAGAACGAAAGUUAGGGGAUCGAAGACGAUCAGAUACCGUCGUAGUCUUAACCAUAAACUAUGCCGACUAGGGAUCGGAUGAUGUUAAUUUUUAAUGA
rnacentral:rRNA from 1 species